rnacentral:lncRNA from 1 species
UGCCAGUCCUUGGAGGAGUUUCCAGGCUGUGAUAAGACCUUAUUUGUGUUUUUGACAGAAUUUGGACAGGAGAAGUCACAUCAGGGAGACCAGAGACUAGAGUAUUGCAUCAUAGAGGAAAGACACUGAUGACAAGAACUCAGGGGAGCAGUGGAACUGGAGGCCUGGGAGCUUGGGACGUGUUCUCUGGGUGAAGUUGGCCGGCCAGCUGAUGACCUACACCAGUGGCAUUCACUCCUCAUGUGUCCCCCAGGAAUUCAUGGUGUGUGUCAUCAGGUAGCAAAGAGAAACAUCUGCUAUGGAAAAAGCUUAAUUGAUUUUUAUCUGAUGUCACGAAGCUGCUACGAGGCACCAUCACCAGCAGGUGGGUGCUGAUGACGCCCUGUGCCGAGGACUCCGUUUUAUGAAAAACAUCAAUCCUGCCAUCUAAGAGGAGAAGACAUGCUCAAUUAGUUUAUCUCUGCCUCCCUACCCAUGUUCAACAAGGUAUCCCAGAAGAACUUAAAAGCUAUUUACUCUGGAUUAUAAUAGAUCCUCUUGACGUUCUGUAACUGGUGAAGCCAUGGGAGAGUCCUGGCUUAAUUAUAAACAACCACAAAGUUAUCAUCAGUGCUACCUGGCUACAAAUUGUUUCUUGCAGAGAAAAUUUUUAGCUAUUUAAGUCCCACGAAAGUAAAUUUGGGGGCUGAAAAUUUUUAAUAAGUAUUUAAACAGCAGACCUUCAAUUUCUCUAGACCCAGUGAAAACAGAAAACAAGAUGGAGUAUUUGCUUGCCAUGAACCUUUCCUCCCACAACAACUGUGCAUUUUAGAAAGUCAGUAGUAACUAGCUUAUAAAAUACAGAGCUCUG